rnacentral:antisense_RNA from 1 species
CCUCUCUGUUGUGAUUCAUCCCCCCCGGGCCCUACAGUUUCUCCUUCCUGACUCUUACAUUUCUUUGGAUGGCAUCAUUAUUUACCUGUCUCCUCCCAUAGUUAGGUGCCAAGCACUGUGGAUUCUGCCCCUCAGUGUCCAGACACCCAUUUUCCUUCCCACUGUUCCUUCCCCAUGGAGAAGCCUGUGGCUGGCUGACAGCAGAGAGAGAUGCUCAACUUGGAGAAGGUGUUACCUGGGCCAGGUGGGGAAGGUUUGUUUGCAGAGCAAAGAAGUGAAGCCUAUUCAACGUGAAAAAGAUGAGGAUGAAGACCUUUAUUAUGAUCCACUUCCAAGUAAUGAACACACUGGAGAAAGUCAGACAGUCAAAACAAUGUCCCAGACUCCGUGAAGUUCCUGGGUAGAGAAGGAGACAGACAUAUACCAUACCUAAUAAUUGGAUGUCCGAGAGAAUGAGAGAAUGGCAGAAAGAACUUUAGAGCAUGGGUAUGAUGGCUAGAGCUUGAGCAGCCAUUGUGGACAUCAGAUGAACUUGAAAGUGAAAACUAUGAGCUGAAUACGACAAAGCAAACAGAUAGAAAACUGGAUUCAUUAUGACAUUGCAAAGCUGCCAGACCAGCUCUAGUCUGCUUCCCCCUAAUCUUCCUUACUAAGAGAGAGAAAUAAACUUCCAUCUUCUUCAAGCCACUGUUGGUGCAUCUGACUACUUACUAGAUGGUUGCAUUUUGAUUUCCCAGAGACAUCUUAAGGUCAACAUGUUCAAAACCAAACAUCUUCCUUUCUUAAGGCUGCAUCCCACCAGGUUGUUGAAGUCAGAAACCUGGAUUCUACAUUCUCCCUUAACCCCAUAUCCAAUUAAAGCAGGCAGAAUAAUGGCUCCCUC